rnacentral:rRNA from 1 species
UACGGAGGGGGCAAGCGUUGUUCGGAAUUACUGGGCGUAAAGGGCGCGUAGGUGGCCAUCUAAGUCAGACGUGAAAUCCCCCGGCUUAACCUGGGAACUGCGUCUGAUACUGGACGGCUAGAGUUUGGGAGAGGGAUGCAGAAUUCCAGGUGUAGCGGUGAAAUGCGUAGAUAUCUGGAGGAACACCGGUGGCGAAGGCGGCUGGCUGGGCCUUACCUGACGCUGAGGAGCGAAAGCGUGGGGAGCGAACAGG